rnacentral:tRNA from 1 species
GUGAGUGUAGCUCAACGGCUAGAGCAUCGGACUGUGGAUCCGAAGGUUGGGGGUUCGAUUCCCCUCACUCACCCCA